AAGCGUAAUAGCUCACUAGUCGAGUCGGCCUGCGCGGAAGAUGUAACGGGGCUAAGCUAUACACCGAAGCUGCGGCAACGCAAUUUAUUGCGUUGGGUAGGGGAGCGUUCUGUAAGCCGUUGAAGGUGAACUGUAAGGUUUGCUGGAGGUAUCAGAAGUGCGAAUGCUGACAUGAGUAACGAUAAUGGGGGUGAAAAACCCCCACGCCGGAAGACCAAGGGUUCCUGUCCAACGUUAAUCGGGGCAGGGUAAGUCGACCCCUAAGGCGAGGCUGAAAAGCGUAGUCGAUGGGAAACGGGUUAAUAUUCCCGUACUUCUUACAAUUGCGAUGGGGGGACGGAGAAGGCUAGGUGGGCCUGGCGACGGUUGUCCAGGUUCAAGUGCGUAGGCUGAAGAGUUAGGUAAAUCCGGCUCUUCGUUAAGGCUGAGACACUAUGUCGAGCACCUAAGGGUGUGAAGUCAUUGAUGCCAUGCUUCCAGGAAAAGCCUCUAAGCUUCAGAUUGUAAGAAAUCGUACCCCAAACCGACACAGGUGGUCGGGUAGAGAAUACCAAGGCGCUUGAGAGAACUCGGGUGAAGGAACUAGGCAAAAUGGUACCGUAACUUCGGGAGAAGGUACGCCGGUUUUGGUGAUGGGACUUGCUCCCUAAGCUGAGGCUGGCCGAAGUGACCAGGUGGCUGCGACUGUUUAUUAAAAACAUAGCACUCUGCAAACACGUAAGUGGACGUAUAGGGUGUGACGCCUGCCCGGUGCCGGAAGGUUAAUUGAUGGGGUUAUCUUCGGAGAAGCUCUUGAUCGAAGCCCCGGUAAACGGCGGCCGUAACUAUAACGGUCCUAAGGUAGCGAAAUUCCUUGUCGGGUAAGUUCCGACCUGCACGAAUGGCGUAACGAUGGCCACACUGUCUCCACCCGAGACUCAGUGAAAUUGAAAUCGCUGUUAAGAUGCAGUGUACCCGCGGCUAGACGGAAAGACCCCGUGAACCUUUACUAUAGCUUUACAUUGGACUUUGAUAACAUCUGUGUAGGAUAGGUGGGAGACUUUGAAGCAGGAUCGCUAGAUCUUGUGGAGUCACCCUUGAAAUACCACCCUGAUGUUGUUGAGGUUCUAACCCAGGUCCCUUAUCGGGAUCGGGAACCGUGUAUGGUGGGUAGUUUGACUGGGGCGGUCUCCUCCCAAAGAGUAACGGAGGAGCGCGAAGGUACACUCAGCAUGGUCGGAAAUCAUGCUAUGAGCGCAAAGGUAGAAGUGUGCUUGACUGCGAGACUGACACGUCGAGCAGGUACGAAAGUAGGUCUUAGUGAUCCGGUGGUUCUGUAUGGAAGGGCCAUCGCUCAACGGAUAAAAGGUACUCCGGGGAUAACAGGCUGAUACCGCCCAAGAGUUCACAUCGACGGCGGUGUUUGGCACCUCGAUGUCGGCUCAUCACAUCCUGGGGCUGAAGCCGGUCCCAAGGGUAUGGCUGUUCGCCAUUUAAAGUGGUACGCGAGCUGGGUUUAGAACGUCGUGAGACAGUUCGGUCCCUAUCUGCCGUGGGCGUUGGAGAAUUGAGGGAAGCUGCUCCUAGUACGAGAGGACCGGAGUGGACGAACCUCUGGUGUUCCGGUUGUCACGCCAGUGGCAUUGCCGGGUAGCUAUGUUCGGAAAGGAUAACCGCUGAAAGCAUAUAAGCGGGAAGCCUCUCCCAAGAUUAAAUCUCCCAGAGACUUUAUGUCUCCUAAAGAGUCGUCAUAGACUAUGACGUUGAUAGGCAAGAUGUGUAAGCGCUGCGAGGCGUUGAGCUAACUUGUACUAAUAACUCGUGAGGCUUGAUCAU
rnacentral:rRNA from 1 species